GGAGGGCUAUAGCUCAGUGGUAGAGCAUCAACUUUGCAUGCCGAGAAGGUCCCAGGUUCAAUUCUUGGUGUCUCCA